GCCGGGCGAGGUGGCGGGCGCCUGUAGUCCCAGCUACUCGGGAGGCUGAGGCAGGAGAAUGGCGUGAACCCGGGAGGCGGAGCUUGCAGUGAGCUGAGAUCCGGCCACUGCACUCCAGCCUGGGCGGCAGAGCGAGACUCCGUCUCAAAAAAAAAAAAAAAAAAGCCAUUUUUGUUUCAUUUAUUUUCUUUUUUUGAGACGGAGUCUCGCGCUGUGUCACCCAGGCUGGAGUGCAGUGGCGCGAUCUCGGCUCACUGCAAGCUCCGCCUCCCAGGUUCAGGCCAUUCUCCUGCCUCAG
rnacentral:SRP_RNA from 1 species